CAGCCGCCGCGGUAACACAGAGGGUGCGAGCGUUAAUCGGAUUUACUGGGCGUAAAGCGUGCGUAUGCGGCUUUUUAAGUCGGAUGUUAAAUCCCUGAGCUUAACUUAGGAAUUGCAUUCGAUACUGGGAAGCUAGAGUAUGGGAGAGGAUGGUAGAAUUCCAGGUGUAGCGGUGAAAUGCGUAGAGAUCUGGAGGAAUACCGAUGGCGAAGGCAGCCAUCUGGCCUAAUACUGACGCUGAGGUACGAAAGCAUGGGGAGCAAACAGGAUUAGAUACCCCUGUAGUCCCUGUCUCUUAUAC
rnacentral:rRNA from 1 species